rnacentral:rRNA from 1 species
GGGAUUGCCCCGGGCGCCUCGUGUGCCCCGGAUCAGGCGCCCGCCUAGGAACCUUAACUCUUGUUUUAUUUUGGAAUCUUCUGAGUAGUUUUUACAAAUAAAUAAAAACUUUCAACAACGGAUCUCUUGGUUCUGGCAUCGAUGAAGAACGCAGCGAAAUGCGAUAAGUAAUGUGAAUUGCAGAAUUCAGUGAAUCAUCGAAUCUUUGAACGCACAUUGCGCCCGCCAGUAUUCUGGCGGCAUGCCUGUCUGAGCGUCAUUUCAACCCUCAUGCCCCUAGGGCGUGGUGUUGGGGAUCGGCCAAAGCCCGCGAGGAACGGCCGGCCCCUAAAUCUAGUGGCGGACCCGUCGUGGCCUCCUCUGCGAAGUAGUGAUAUUCCGCAUCGGAGAGCGACGAGCCCCUGCCGUUAAACCCCCAACUUUCCAAGGUUGACCUCAGAUCAGGUAGGAAUACCCGCUGAACUUAAG